CCUACGGGAGGCAGCAGUGAGGAAUAUUGGUCAAUGGACGAGAGUCUGAACCAGCCAAGUAGCGUGAAGGAUGACUGCCCUAUGGGUUGUAAACUUCUUUUAUAUGGGAAUAAAACGUUCCACGUGUGGGAUUUUGUAUGUACCAUAUGAAUAAGGAUCGGCUAACUCCGUGCCAGCAGCCGCGGUAAUACGGAGGAUCCGAGCGUUAUCCGGAUUUAUUGGGUUUAAAGGGAGCGUAGGUGGAUUGUUAAGUCAGUUGUGAAAGUUUGCGGCUCAACCGUAAAAUUGCAGUUGACACUGGCAGUCUUGAGGACAGUAGAGGUGGGCGGAAUGCGUGGUGUAGCGGUGAAAUGCUUAGAUAUCACGAAGAACUCCGAUUGCGAAGGCAGUUCACUGGACUGCAACUGACACUGAGGCUCGAAAGUGUGGGUAUCAAACAGGAUUAGAUACCCUAGUAGUC
rnacentral:rRNA from 1 species